rnacentral:rRNA from 1 species
UACGAAGGGGGGCUAGCGUUGCUCGGAAUCACUGGGCGUAAAGCGCACGUAGGCGGGUUGCUAAGUCAGGGGUGAAAUCCUGGAGCUUAACUCCAGAACUGCCUUUGAUACUGGCGGGCUCGAGGCCGGUAGGGGGAAGCGGAAUUCCCGGUGUAGUGGUGGAAUGCGUAGAUAUCGGGAGGAACACCAGUGGCGAAGGCGGCUUCCUGGACCGGUUCGUGACACUGAGGAGCGAAAGCGUGGGGAGCGGAUCCGG